rnacentral:lncRNA from 1 species
UGGCUGGAAUAAUAGAACGACUCACUCCUAACCAAGGACAGUUAACUACUACCGGGAGUAAAAAGGAAUUAUCCAUGUAUAUAUCAUUGCAACACUGCUUUUCCGGUGAACAACGUCUAUGUUGUGUUCUUGUCUUCCCAAUAUCUAUUAUUACUGUUGACGUAACUAUUGCUAUAAAUAUGAAGGAAGCUAGACUUGCCCAGGCAUAUUUGGUAUAUAUUCUGGACAAUAUCCUAUCGAAAUGAGAGGCAGGAGGAAAAAAGCCAGACACUGAUGUUCUCCAACCAUGUGAGUGGGCUCUAAUUGAUAUGCUGUGUUGUUCAAUCAGACAUUGUAGCCGACUGAAAUAAUAAUAGUGACAGCACUAGAAACCUGCUCAAAAGAAAACAGAAUGACGAUGGACAGUAAUGACUGUGUACAUAUCUGCUCCCUCUUGACAGAACAAACACUAUAGACCACGUCUUUUUCUCACUGCCCAUUUACAACAGCCUGAUGGAACAUCAUUGACUUUCAGAGUCACCCAUCUAGCAAUGUCUUUGUUUCUCCGAAGCUUCUCAAACAGCAAGUCCAAGGACCUUUCUUGGUGGAAACAUUCAUUCUUCUGUGCUGGAGUAUCUGGAUGGAAAGAAAUUACCUCAUCUUCAGAGGCAUACAAUCGAGCGUGUGGACAAAUGCAAAGCUAAUUUCACUUCUGAAUUGGUCUGUUCUUGCACAGGAUCAAGAAUACCGAUCAACCCUGUUCUUAUGGACAGAAAACUUUUGCUAAUUCUUCUUUUAUUUUUCUUUUAUUCCUUUUUUGUUUCUUGAGUUCUGACCUUUUGUAAUUUUCACUUACAUGUAAUUCUUUUGCUCGUUUCAAUAUAUUCAGUAGGGCAUUGCCCAUUCUAUUCUUUUUAAAAAAGGUAGUUACAACUUGAAAGGACUCAAGGAGGUUCGGUGACAGUGUUGGUGGCCAUCAGUGAUGGUGGCAUCGGUAAGCAACAAUCACGUAGACAGCUACAAGUUUAACUCUUAUGGUAGCAAAAGACCAAUACCUAAACUGGGGAGGCUGAAGGUCAAGUGGAAACCAAAUUCAAAUUUGUGAGGAUAUAUACAUGGUUAGGAACCCAGGCUUCAAAAUUCUAGUACCCUACCUUGUCCAGUAUUGUUCGACAAAAACAAGCAACGGUGGCACAAUUGCUUGGUUCUAACACCCACUUAAUGUCUCUUUCAAAGACCACUGGAUGGAAAUGGAAAUAUAUUAACUAACUGAGUGCCUCAUAAUUGUUGUGAGGGUCACUUAAUUAACUUGGGGAGGGAAGUUAGUCUACAUAAGAAUGGGUCUUUCAAAAUUGAGUGGGUGUAUAAACAUCUAGCCAACAGUGGAAUUAGAGCCACACAAAAAAAAUCAUAUGAGCCACAUUGUAUAUAUGGUCACCAAUGACACACGCCUUGGAGGGAAGUCAUGGUGAUGCACUGGCCACUAAGUCAUCAAACUGCACCACAGGGAGGACCUCCUUGAUGACCAUCGCCUACUAUAGGAGUGUGUCACCACCGCCACCACAGCUAAGGGCCAAUUUUGAGGCCACCUAAAAUCACCCAUGACCGCAAGUAGGACACCGUCUACGAGAGCUGGACAUUGGAACGAAAGACAAAAUGGGAGGGAGUAUGAUGGGGAUAGUGAAAAAAAUAAAUGCUAUGCUGGCAUGCCACAUCAACAAGGAAAUGUUGUCAAAGUAGUAUGGACAUGUUGUGCAUUGUACCACUUAACAAGUUAGGUGACCAGG